rnacentral:tRNA from 1 species
GCGUCUUUAGCUCAGUGGAUAGAGCGUCGGACUUCUAAUCCGCAGGUCCCAGGUUCAAGUCCUGGAAGGCGCG